rnacentral:misc_RNA from 1 species
GAUGAAGAACGUAGUGAAAUGCGAUAAGUAAUGUGAAUUGCAGAAUUCAGUGAAUCAUCGAAUCUUUGAACGCACAUUGCGCCCCCUGGUAUUCCGGGGGGCAUGCCUGUUCGAGUGUCAUUUCACCACUCAAGCCUCGCUUGGUAUUGGGCAACGCGGUCCGCCGCGUGCCUCAAAUCGACCGGCUGGGUCUUCUGUCCCCUAAGCGUUGUGGAAACUAUUCGCUAAAGGGUGCUCGGGAGGCUACGCCGUAAAACAAACCCAUUUCUAAGGUUGACCUCGGAUCAGGUAGGGAUACCCGCUGAACUUAAGCAUAUCAAUAAGCGGAGGA